UGAGUAACACGUAUCCAACCUGCCGUCUACUCUUGGACAGCCUUCUGAAAGGAAGAUUAAUACAAGAUGGCAUCAUGAGUCCGCAUGUUCACAUGAUUAAAGGUAUUCCGGUAGACGAUGGGGAUGCGUUCCAUUAGAUAGUAGGCGGGGUAACGGCCCACCUAGUCUUCGAUGGAUAGGGGUUCUGAGAGGAAGGUCCCCCACAUUGGAACUGAGACACGGCCCAA
rnacentral:rRNA from 1 species